GUCCGCGAUCUCCGUUAGCUCCAAGGCGGAAGGAUCUGUCGUCCCACUGCAGUGUCGGGUUUCCGUUGUCAAAUAGGAAGUGAAGCCACGGGCCGCCAUCCUUAAGCAAUUCCCGCUAUCUCAGACUCCUGAACCACAGACGGGAUGGUUUAUAAAGAAUAGAGGUUCCAGAGGCAGGGAUAUUCAAGAACUGUGUGCCAGCCUUCCUGCUGCAUCUUGAUGCGAUAGAGAGAGUCACAUGCCCAGACAGACAAGCCUGCCUGCUCAGAUCUCACUUCUUCCUGUAAAGCCACUGGUGGUGUUUAUGGAAAGUCCAUGCUGGUAAGUUUUGUCAACUUGACGCAAGCUGGAGUCAUUUGGAAAGAGG
rnacentral:lncRNA from 1 species